rfam:Clostridium cadaveris strain NLAE-zl-G419 genome assembly, contig: Ga0070261_101
GAAGAUAAAGAAAUUAAUAUCUAUAUAAUUCUCAUAAUAAGGUUGAGAAGUUUCUACGAGGGAACCGUAAAUUUCCUAUCUAUGGAUAUUCUAUGGGGUAAG